AUCGCUUCUCGGCCUUUUGGCUAAGAUCAAGUGUAGUAUCUGUUCUUAUAAGAUGCGGAAGUCGACGCGAGUGGGCCGGUCCGAGUGGCGCGGCUGAGAAAUUCU
ensembl:snRNA U2 U2 spliceosomal RNA